rnacentral:rRNA from 1 species
UACGUAGGGGGGCAAGCGUUGUCCGGAAUCAUUGGGCGUAAAGAGCGUGUAGGCGGCUUUACAGGUCCGUUGUGAAAAACUCGAGGCUCAACCUCGAGACGCCGGUGGAAACCGUAAAGCUAGAGUCCGGAAGAGGAGAGUGGAAUUCCUGGUGUAGCGGUGAAAUGCGCAGAUAUCAGGAGGAACACCGGUGGCGAAGGCGGGUCUCUGGGCCGAUACUGACGCUGAGGAGCGAAAGCGUGGGGAGCAAACAGG